AAAUGGAUUCACCCAUGGCCCAGGAGAGCCCCUGCAAGAUAGUUCUUCCCCUGAAUCUGGUUGCCUGGAUGAAAUGGAAAAACGGAAUUGCUGGACAAUCCCAGAUCAAACUCUAGAUUGACCACUGCAGCAGCUUUCCACCAUCAGGAGGGAGGCCCUGCCCGCCAAGCCAGCCUCCCUCUCUUUUUGAGGACCCAGCACAGCAGGCGGUGCCAAUUACCAACAUCAGUGACUAAAUGAAUGACUGACACGUGCCUGAGGGAGGACAGGGAAGGCAGCACACUAGGAAACCACCUCAUUUGGGCCCACAGGUGGAUAAGCUCUGCCUCAUUCAGACUCCUCCUGCAGCUCAGCACCCCGCAAACCUGGGCCAAGGCCAGAGAUUAUUAGCCUCCCCAGAUUCACCAGCUGGCUCAUCCCUUGGACAUAACCCUUCAUCCUGAAUUGGUCCCGUGCAGUAGGCUGGUAUCGAGUGUGUUUUGGGGGUACCUUACCUCAUGCUGUCUUCUACUCCCUCCGUAUUGGCCUGUGGUUUCUGACCAACUUUCCUCCUAAAACUCCAGUUUUCUUCUGUGACAGGCCCUCUGCCCUAAAUACCAGCCCACGUAAUGCUGUGCACAGUGUCCACUGUUCUGUCCUUCCAGAGGACUGGCUCACUAUCGUGGGACUGGGGUUUUACGAAGG